rnacentral:lncRNA from 1 species
GGUUGAAUAGUUCAAGAUCAAAAUUCCAAUAGAUUGGUUGUCUAGUGAGGGCCUAUUUUUUCAUAGAUGUUUUCCUCUGUUCUUGCAGGAUGGAAGGGGCAAAUGGGCUCCCUCCAGCUCUUUUAUAAUAAUGGCACUAAUCUCAUUCAUGAUGGUGGAUACAGACAUUCAGAGCACAGCACACGAGGCAUAAACCAGGCACAGUGCAUCAUGCAUCGCAGGUGAGGAGCUCAUCACAGCGAAGAUAAGGAACUUUCCUGACACUGCAUAAGGAAUGUUCUUUUCCACACAGCUUACAUGAAGAGGCUCAUGAUCUUGGGUCUUCUACUGCAGGGACAGUUGUGGACCAACUAAGACCAACUAACCUCCCUUCCUUUCCCUCCCACCUUUACAACUGAACUCUACACUGGAGACUAGUGGAUGAAGAUAAAAUGGCAGCUAUGUUACUGAUAAAGCCAGCCAGAGGAUGUGAU